rnacentral:rRNA from 1 species
UCCACGGAAGUUUUCAGAGAUGAGAAUGUGCCUUCGGGAACCGUGAGACAGGUGCUGCAUGGCUGUCGUCAGCUCGUGUUGUGAAAUGUUGGGUUAAGUCCCGCAACGAGCGCAACCCUUAUCCUUUGUUGCCAGCGGUCCGGCCGGGAACUCAAAGGAGACUGCCAGUGAUAAACUGGAGGAAGGUGGGGAUGACGUCAAGUCAUCAUGGCCCUUACGACCAGGGCUACACACGUGCUACAAUGGCGCAUACAAAGAGAAGCGACCUCGCGAGAGCAAGCGGACCUCAUAAAGUGCGUCGUAGUCCGGAUUGGAGUCUGCAACUCGACUCCAUGAAGUCGGAAUCGCUAGUAAUCGUGGAUCAGAAUGCCACGGUGAAUACGUUCCCGGGCCUUGUACACACCGCCCGUCACACCAUGGGAGUGGGUUGCAAAAGAAGUAGGUAGCUUAACCUUCGGGAGGGCGCUUACCACUUUGUGAUUCAUGACUGGGGUGAAGUCGUAACAAGGUAACCGUAGGGGAACCUGCGGUUGGAUCAC